GGGGGGGUAGCGGGAGCUACACAUGCAGUCGAGGGGUACAGUGCUGCUUGCAGCAGCUGACGACCGGCGCACGGGCCCGUUACGCGUAUGCAACCUACCCCAAACAGGGGAAUAGCCCAGGCAAACUUGGAUUAAUGCCCCAUGGUAACCAAUUACCGCAUGGUUUUUGGUUUAAAGCUCCGGCGGUUUGGGAUGGGCAUGCGUGGCAUCAGUUCGUUGGUGGGGUAACGGCCCACCAAGGCUACGAUGCCUAGGGGUUCUGAGAGGAUGACCCCCCACACUGGUACUGAGACACGGACCAGACUCCUACGGGAGGCAGCAGUGAGGAAUAUUGGUCAAUGGGCGCAAGCCUGAACCAGCCAUCCCGCGUGAAGGAUGACGGCCCUAUGGGUUGUAAACUUCUUUUAUGUGCCAAGAAUGGUGGCUACGUGUAGCCAUUUGACGGUAGCACAUGAAUAAGCAUCGGCUAACUCCGUGCCAGCAGCCGCGGUAAUACGGAGGAUGCAAGCGUUAUCCGGAUUCAUUGGGUUUAAAGGGUACGUAGGUGGCCCGGUAAGUCAGUGGUGAAAUCCUGCCGCUUAACGGUAGAACUGCCAUUGUUACUGCUGGGCUUGAGUAUAGUUGAGGUAGGCGGAAUGUGUAGUGUAGCGGUGAAAUGCUUAGAUAUUACACAGAACCCCGAUUGCGAAGGCAGCUUACUAAACUAUAACUGACACUGAGGUACGAAAGCGUGGGGAGCGAACAGGAUUAGAUACCCUGGUAGUCCACGCCGUAAACGAUGCUCACUCGCUGUAUGCGGUACACAGUAUGCGGCCAAGCGAAAGCAUUAAGUGAGCCACCUGGGGAGUACGUCGGCAACGGUGAAACUCAAA
rnacentral:rRNA from 1 species